rnacentral:rRNA from 1 species
UAGGGAAUAUUGCACAAUGGAGGAAACUCUGAUGCAGCCAUGCCGCGUGUGUGAAGAAGGUCUUCGGAUUGUAAACUCCUGUUGUUGAGGAAGAUAAUGACGGUACUCAACAAGGAAGUGACGGCUAACUACGUGCCAGCAGCCGCGGUAAAACGUAGGUCACAAGCGUUGUCCGGAAUUACUGGGUGUAAAGGGAGCGCAGGCGGGAAGGCAAGUUGGAGGUGAAAUCCAUGGGCUCAACCCAUGAACUGCUUUCAAAACUGUUUUUCUUGAGUAGUGCAGAGGUAGGCGGAAUUCCCGGUGUAGCGGUGGAAUGCGUAGAUAUCGGGAGGAACACCAGUGGCGAAGGCGGCCUACUGGGCACCAACUGACGCUGAGGCUCGAAAGUGUGGGUAGCAAACAGGAUUAGAUACCC